AGAGUUUGAUCCUGGCUCAGGACGAACGCUGACGGUGUGCUUUAGGCAUGCAAGUCGAACGAGAAAGCCCUUCGGGGUGAGUAGAGUGGCGAACGGGUGAGUAACACGUGGGCAACCUGCCCCUCGCAGGGGGAUAACCGGAGGAAACUCCGGCUAAUACCCCGUAAGCUUUCAGGGUCGCAUGGCCCUGUAAGGAAAGGUAGCUUCGGCCAUCCGGCGAGGGAUGGGCCCGCGUUGCAUUAGCUAGUUGGUGGGGUAACGGCCUACCAAGGCGACGAUGCGUAGCUGGUCUGAGAGGAUGAUCAGCCACACUGGGACUGAGACACGGCCCAGACUCCUACGGGAGGCAGCAGCCAGGAAUCUUGGGCAAUGGGCGAAAGCCUGACCCAGCAACACCGUGUGGGCGAUGAAGGCCUUAGGGUCGUAAAGCCCUGUUGAUAGGGACGAAGGGCGAAGGGUUAAUAGCCCCUAGCUUGACGGUACCUUUCGAGGAAGCCCCGGCUAACUACGUGCCAGCAGCCGCGGUAAUACGUAGGGGGCGAGCGUUGUCCGGAAUUAUUGGGCGUAAAGAGCGUGUAGGCGGUUCGGUAAGUCUGCUGUGAAAUCCUGGGGCUCAACCCUGGGCGUGCAGCGGAUACUGCCGGGCUAGAGGGUGGUAGAGGCGAGUGGAAUUCCGAGUGUAGCGGUGAAAUGCGCAGAUAUUCGGAGGAACACCAGUAGCGAAGGCGGCUCGCUGGGCCACACCUGACGCUGAGACGCGAAAGCGUGGGGAGCGAACAGGAUUAGAUACCCCUGUAGUCC
rnacentral:rRNA from 1 species